AUGAUCACUCUAGCAUGUGUGCUCACGGCGCAACAUCCAUCGUUAUCGGGUGACACCUCUUCCCAUACUUUGUCGCUGCGGGUGGCGUUCUUCUACACCUCCCUAUACCUCAUCGCCAUCACGCAGGGCGCAGACAAUCCAAAUGCAUUGGCCUUUGCCGCUGACCAGUUCGAUUCCAACCACCCCAGGGAAUGCGUCGCCCGUAGCUCCUUGUUCAACUGGUGGUACUUCUCACUGGCUGUAGGUAUCACUAUUUCUGUUGGUGUAGUCGGCUACAUACAGGAGAACCUUGGCUGGGGAAUUGGGUUUGGCAUGCUCUGCACCAUCAUGCUCGGUGCCUUAGUUGUCUUCUUCCUUGGCACCCCUACAUACCGCUUCUAUGCACCCACUCCCGGUGCUGAGAACCCCUUUGCCCUCCUUGCUCGUAGCCUUGCCGCGCUAGCCCAACAUGACAAUGCCACUUCGAGCUCAUUGCUUGGUAACAAAAAAGAAUACCAGGUAGAACAGAAAGAGGAUGCGGUAAAAAAGGAGGAGGCGCGUGGCAUAGUACGGUUGCUGUCAAUUUGGGCGGCAUGCCUGGCAUAUGGUGUGGUGUUUGCGCAGUUCAUGACACUCUUUAACAAGCAGUCCCGCACCCUGGACCGCCGCAUCUUUGGCAGCCUGGAGUUACCGCCGGCGGCGCUUCAGAUGUUAGGGCCUGCAACAACUCUGUUGUUCGUCCCUAUAUAUGAUUGUGUGCUGGUGCCGAUGCUGAGGCACGCGACAGGCACCCCGUCGGGUCUGACGCUACUACAACGUGUUGGCACGGGCAUGACAUUGACCCUGGCUACGAUGUUGGUGGCGGCAUUGGUGGAAACACGACGCCUUGAGACAGCACGCGAGCAUGGGCUGGUGGACAAUAUUGACGCAACAGUGCCAAUGUGCUGGGCGUGGUUGGUGCCACAAUAUGUUUUGAUCGGGGUGGCAGGCGUGUUCGCGGAAGUCGGGAUGCAGGAAUUCUUCUACGACCAGAUGCCCGGUGAGCUACGCAGCUUGGGCAUGUCACUCUACUAUAGCGUGAUCGGCAUGGGCAACUUCAUCAGUGGCGCUCUGAUCUCCCUGAUCGACCGCAUCACCAGCCGCGGUGGUGGCGACAGCUGGUUCGCGGACAAUCUCAACCGUGGGCACCUCGACUACUUCUACUGA
rnacentral:rRNA from 1 species